rnacentral:snRNA from 1 species
GUGCUCACUUCGGCAGCACAUAUACUAAAAUUGGAAUGAUACAGAGAAGAUUAGCAUAACCCCUGCACAAGGAUGACAUGCAAAUUCAUGAAGCAUUCCAUAUUUAA